GGAGAGAUGGCUGAGUGGCUUAAAGCGUCGGAUUGCUAAUCCGGUGUACGGGUUAUUCGUACCGAGGGUUCGAAUCCCUCUCUUUCCG
rnacentral:tRNA from 1 species